AAGGAAAAUGAUAAAAAGAAGCCGCUAACUAUCUUUUAUAGCGAUUAAAUUUCGUUUUUUCCUUA
rnacentral:tRNA from 1 species